UUGUUGAGGUAAGAAAUUCAAGCCCUCUCAAGGCUGAAACAGGGGUUCGAUUCCCCUAGGGAGCGCCA
rnacentral:tRNA from 1 species